GUGCGUUGCUUCAAAAAGGAAAAUUGGUGAUGGAAGUGGCUCUAUGCCCCCACAGAAGAUUCAGAAGGUAGUACCACCCAGUCAAGGGAGGCAAACUGAGGGACCGACUACACUCCCGCCACUGACUCCCUCUUCGCUUCCUCCUUCUGCGAGCCUAACUCCUACUCACCAGGGUAGCUCGAGUGAGGUCUUUCGUGCUGUUAGUGACCUAGGAAAGGGACUUCUUAAGGAGAUCGGCCAUGACGCUUCAACGCUCCAAAGCUUAGAAUCCUACCCUCGGCUUAGCGUUGAAGUCGUCUUGAAAAGAGGGCUCGCUCAACUGAUGAAGUCACUUGUCACCAUCGGUCACGCUCAGCUCUGAGCGGUAGACUACAAGGAGUUGAUUAAGGUGUUAAACGAUCAACUGGUGGAGGCCAAAUCCAAGCUGGAGCAAGCAGAGAGAACCGUAGCUGAAUGGGAUGAGUCUCUCAGGAAGCUUUCUGAUGAGAACCAGCAGCAAGUUCAAAACAACAACUCCUUGACAGCCCAACUGGAGAAGCUGUCCCUCGAGAACAAGGGGUUAGCUCGGGAUAAUGAGAGACUGAUCAACGAAAACGAAGAAUUGAAACAAGAAAAGGAGCUUGAUUUGAUUCGCUUUGAGGAGGCCAGUUUCGACUGCUUUUAUAAGGUCUGGAAGCUGAACAAACCUCUCAAUCUUGAUUGUUUCUCCAAGGAGGCUCAGGCAGAGGAGCUUGCCAGAUGCGAAGCAAGGGCCGCUGAAGAAGCUGCCAAUCCUCCUACACUCACUCCCGCCACCUCUGCUUUGUCAUUCCGAGCGAGAGGGGCAGCUGAUGCCGAGGAGAGGGUCGAUCAACCCACUAGAGGAGCACGCCAGUGACUCCCUCUCGUAGUUCAUCAUAGUUUGCUUUACUUUGUAUUUUGUUGCUCGAACUAGUGAGCUAUUUUGACACUUACACUUUACUCUUUCUUUGUCGACAACUUUAAACUUUUAAGUUUUUAUUGUACAUAGCAAAGUUAUUAGAUGCCUUUAAUUU